GCAGUCGAGCGAGGAGGUUGCUUCUGUACUGACCUACCGGCGGACGGAUGAGUGAUACUUAGGAAUCUGCCUAGUACUGGGGGAGACAUCUCUCCAGGAAUGCUAAUACCGCAUACGCCCUACUUUUGAAAUGAAGGGAUCACUUGUGACCUUGCGUUUCUACAGGAGCCUAUGUCUGAUUACCUAUCUGGUGAGGUAAAUGCCUACCAAGGCGACCAUCUGUACCGGGUCUGAUAGGAUGAUCCGCCACACUGGCACUGACACUGGGGCCGAACUCCUACCGAAAGUCCCACUGGAGAAUAUUGUACAAUGUCUUCAACCCUGAUCCAACCUUGCCGCGAGUGUGACCACGGGCUUAUGGUUGUAUUUCACUUUAAACGAAUAUGAUGCUCUCUUGGAUAAUACGCUAGAUGAAUGGACUUUACUCUUGAAAUAACCUCCGGCUAACUCUGUGCCUACAUCCGCGGUAAUACCCAAGGUGCUACCGUUAUUCGGAUUUACUGCCCGUAUUACGGGCGUAAGCGCCUUUUUAAGUCGUAUGUUAAAUCCCCGAGCUUAACUUGCGGAAUUGCAUUCGAUACUGCGAAGCUAGAUGAUGGAAUAGGAUGGUAAAAAUCCAGUGUAAUGCUGAUGUGCGUAGAGAUCUGGGAGGANACCGAUGGCAAAGCCAGUGCCUCUGGCCUAAUUUCUGACCCUGAGUACAAAUGCAUGGGGGAACAAACGGGAUUAAAUACCCUGGUAAAUCCCUGGCGUAAAC
rnacentral:rRNA from 1 species